rnacentral:lncRNA from 1 species
UUUAAUGAAGGGCUGAACUAGAAAUUAAUUCUCUAUAUAAAGAGGGUUAUGAACCCCAAGGCAACCCUAGCCGAAAAUAAGGAACUCUCUAUAUCCCAUAAAGAAUUAAAGUCACGUAGGGCUUGCUUCGGAAGAUCCAUUCCCUAACAUCAGAUCCUAAGAGCAAUGGAUACAUCGGGUACACUUCCGCUUAUGUUUAUUCAAUCAGAGAAUCGUAUGGUUAAAGGAUUCAUAUUGAUUGUGGGAACCGAAAUUCGCACUGUCGAUUUCCGUUUAAAUAAGGAAAGUUAGGAAAACUCUAAUUUCCCAGAGGUCCCGGAUA